rnacentral:rRNA from 1 species
CCCUUAGAUGUUCUGGGCUGCACGCGCGCUACGCUGAUGCAUCCAACAAGUUUUUUCCCUUGUCCGGUAGGACUGGGUAAUCUUUUGAGUAUGCAUCGUGAUGGGGAUAGAUUAUUGCAAUUAUUAAUCUUCAACGAGGAAUUCCUAGUAAAUGCGAGUCAUCAUCUCGCGUUGAUUACGUCCCUGCCCUUUGUACACACCGCCCGUCGCACCUACCGAUUGAAUGGUCCGGUGAAGCCUCGGGAUUGCGAAUGCUUCGUGCGGACGCGAGAACUUGGCUAAACCUUACCAUUUAGAGGAAGGUGAANUCGUAACA